UACGGAGGGAGCUAGCGUUGUUCGGAAUUACUGGGCGUAAAGCGCGCGUAGGCGGCUUUGUAAGUUAGAGGUGAAAGCCCGGAGCUCAACUCCGGAACUGCCUUUAAGACUGCAUCGCUUGAAUCCAGGAGAGGUGAGUGGAAUUCCGAGUGUAGAGGUGAAAUUCGUAGAUAUUCGGAAGAACACCAGUGGCGAAGGCGGCUCACUGGACUGGUAUUAACGCUGAGGUGCGAAAGCGUGGGGAGCAAACAGG
rnacentral:rRNA from 1 species